UAGCAACGCAAUUCCAUUGCAAUUCCCUUGAAAUGCACUAAAACUGUAUUGUAUUGUAUGUUGACAUAGCUGUCCCUUUAAUAUUUCUGGCUGUAUUGGGCCACUGUGGGUUAUUACAAUGUUUUAUGGAAACAUCAGAUUGAGAGAAUUUUUGCCAUAUUUUUCAAGAGUUAGUCAACCCCCCUCCACCACCACCACCACCUGACAGAAAAGACUUAGCUAUCACAAGAUGGAUCCCACCACCAUACCACCUUGGAUGUAGAUACACCAAAGGAUUUAAAAGACAUGGACCGAGGAUGGACCCGACCA